rnacentral:rRNA from 1 species
AUUGCCUAGUACGGCGAGUGAAGCGGCAACAGCUCAAAUUUGAAAGCUGGCUCCGGCCCGCAUUGUAAUUUGCAGAGGAUGCUUUUGGCGAGGUGCCUUCCGAGUUCCCUGGAACGGGACGCCAUAGAGGGUGAGAGCCCCGUAUGGAUGGACACCAAACCUGUGUAAAGCUCCUUCAACGAGUCGAGUAGUUUGGGAAUGCUGCUCUAAAUGGGAGGUAAAUCUCUUCUAAAGCUAAAUACCGGCCAGAGACCGAUAGCGCACAAGUAGAGUGAUCGAAAGAUGAAAAGCACCUUGAAAAGGGGGUUAAACAGUACGUGAAAUUGUUGAAAGGGAAGCAUUUAUGACCAGACUUGCGCCGGGCAGCUCAUCAGGGGUUCUCCCCUGUGCACUCUGCCCGGCUCAGGCCAGCAUCGGUUCUCGUGGGAGGAUAAGAACAGUGGGAACGUGGCCCCCUCUCGGGGGGGUGUUAUAGCCCAUUGUACGAUACUCUCGUGGGGACCGAGGUUCGCGCUCCGCAAGGAUGCUGGCGUAAUGGUCAUCAAUGACCCGUCUUGACCAC